CAGGGAGACAAACAACGAUUUUGAUGUCUGAGUUAUUUAUUCUUAGGCCGAAAUCCUGUCACCUUAGGUCGAUCGGUACCUCAACUUUGAAGCUAAGAGAAUUCAGCAAUGGAUUUCUGCUUAGUGGAGAUUUUUAGUUCCUAAACUUUGUCUAGUUCACAACCCAUUAGGGAUGAGACUCCUGGGCCAUUAGCUCAGGUGGUUAGAGCGCACCCCUGAUAAGGGUGAGGUCCCCGGUUCAAGUCCAGGAUGGCCCAUUCGGUGUAGGGGGUUUAGCUCAGUUGGUAGAGCGCCUGCUUUGCAAGCAGGAUGUCAGGAGUUCGAGUCUCCUAACCUCCACUGACUGCAAAGAAUCCCCAUCUCCAAAGCCUGGAGUAUGAACUCGUAUGGAUUGUGAUUUAGAUGUGUCCGCUAGAUGACCCUAGCUUCUUGUCAUUUUAAGGCGUGGAAAUUAUUCCAUGAUUUGAUUGAUAGGAUGCUGGGCUCGAUGCAAUGUAUUGAGAGAUCAAUGCAUUGUUUUGAUGUUUGGUCGAACCUUGACAACUGCAUAGUAAGUCUGGAAAGAAUAAAGCAUCUUUAUGGAUGCAUCAUUCCUGAGUGUUAAC
rnacentral:tRNA from 1 species